rnacentral:rRNA from 1 species
UACAGAGGGUGCAAGCGUUAAUCGGAAUUAUUGGGCGUAAAGGGUGCGUAGGUGGUUGAAUAAGUUAGAUGUGAAAUUCCCGGGCUUAACCUGGGGACUGCGUCUAAUACUGUUCGGCUAGAGUACUGUAGAGGAAGGUGGAAUUUCCGGUGUAGCGGUGAAAUGCGUAGAUAUCGGAAGGAACAUCAGUGGCGAAGGCGACUUUCUGGACAGCUACUGACACUGAGGCACGAAAGCGUGGGGAGCAAACAGG